ACUCCUACGGGAGGCAGCAGUGGGGAAUUUUGGACAAUGGGCGCAAGCCUGAUCCAGCAAUGCCGCGUGAGUGAAGAAGGCCUUCGGGUUGUAAAGCUCUUUCAGUUGAAAAGAAAAAGUCGUGACUAAUAAUCAUGGCUCAUGACGGUAUCAACAGAAGAAGCACCGGCUAACUACGUGCCAGCAGCCGCGGUAAUACGUAGGGUGCAAGCGUUAAUCGGAAUUACUGGGCGUAAAGGGUGCGCAGGCGGUUCUGUAAGUCAGAUGUGAAAUCCCCGGGCUUAAUCUGGGAACUGCGUUUGAAACUGCAGAGCUAGAGUGCGGCAGAGGGAGGUGGAAUUCCAUGUGUAGCAGUGAAAUGCGUAGAGAUAUGGAAGAACAUCGAUGGCGAAGGCAACCUCCUGGGCUAGCACUGACGCUCAUGCACGAAAGCGUGGGGAGCAAACAGGAUUAGAUACCCUGGUAGUCCACGCCCUAAACUAUGUCAACUAGUCGUCGGGUCUUAAUAGACUUGGUAACGUAGCUAACGCGUGAAGUUGACCGCCUGGGGAGUACGGUCGCAAGAUUAAAACUCAAAGGAAUUGACGGGGACCCGCACAAGCGGUGGAUUAUGUGGAUUAAUUCGAUGCAACGCGAAAAACCUUACCUACCCUUGACAUGUCAGAAAAUUUUCAGAGAUGAAUUUGAGCCCGAAAGGGAAUCUGAACACAGGUGCUGCAUGGCUGUCGUCAGCUCGUGUCGUGAGAUGUUGGGUUAAGUCCCGCAACGAGCGCAACCCUUGUCAUUAAUUGCCAUCAUUAAGUUGGGCACUUUAAUGAGACUGCCGGUGAUAAACCGGAGGAAGGUGGGGAUGACGUCAAGUCCUCAUGGCCCUUAUGGGUAGGGCUUCACACGUAAUACAAUGGCG
rnacentral:rRNA from 1 species